rnacentral:rRNA from 1 species
UACGUAGGGGGCAAGCGUUGUCCGGAUUUAUUGGGCGUAAAGAGCGUGUAGGCGGCUUUACAGGUCCGUUGUGAAAACUCGAGGCUCAACCUCGAGCUGUCGGCGGAAACCAUCUGGCUAGAGUCCGGAAGAGGAGAAUGGAAUUCCCGGUGUAGCGGUGAAAUGCGCAGAUAUCGGGAAGAACACCCGUGGCGAAGGCGGUUCUCUGGGACGGUACUGACGCUGAGACGCGAAAGCGUGGGGAGCGAACAGG